UACAGAGGGUGCGAGCGUUGUUCGGAAUUACUGGGUGUAAAGGGUUCGUAGGCGGUGUGGCAAGUCGGGAGUGAAAUUUCUGGGCUCAACUCAGAGACUGCUUCCGAAACUGCUGUGCUGGAGUGUGGGAGAGGCGCGUGGAAUUGCAGGUGUAGCGGUGAAAUGCGUAGAUAUCUGCAGGAACACCCGUGGCGAAAGCGGCGCGCUGGACCACUACUGACGCUGAGUAACGAAAGCUAGGGGAGCAAACAGG
rnacentral:rRNA from 1 species